rnacentral:tRNA from 1 species
GGCUGAAUAGCAUAGGGUAAUGCACCGGUUUGCAAAACCGUGUACGCCAGUUCGAUUCUGGCUUCAGCCUCCA